GUCAAACAGCCCAAAAAAGAAAAAGCCAAGAAAAACAAAGGAAAAUCAAGUCCUGCAGCUGAUGCAGCAGUUUAUUCUGAAGUCACAUCAGGAAGCUCUCUCAGUCAGUGAGGAGAGCUGUAGCAGCAAAGCCAAGAAGAAGCUUUUUAUGAAGCCACUCUUGCUCCUCUGCUCCCCAAAUAUCAGACAUGCUCAGCUUUAUGCACAGUUACAAUAUUAAAUCAUUAUAUCAUAUAGACCUAUUGCUCUCUUUUAGUAUAAAACAAAUGGAGGUGUAUUGGAAUUGAUAUGUUUUGUAUUGUCAUUUGUGCUUAGAAAUAUAUAAUCAUUUGUGUGCUGAUAAAAUCUUAUCUUAUCCUUAAUAGGUGUGAUAAGAUUCUGUGUGCACUCUUUGCACCAUGAGAUGAGAGGAGCAGCCUUGACGUUAUAAUUUCCAUUAUAGCUGUAGAAACCAGACUGUCUUGUUUGUUAUCUCAAAGUGUAAGACUUCACACCUUUAAAUGUCCUAUUGCAUGUUCAUGUUUUUAUAUUUCAGCAAGAUGUUUACUUCUGGUUUUCUGCAUACAGUUUAAGUUCAUUGAAAGGUCGUAUGUCUAUGUAUGGUAUAGCUGGAAACACACACACACACACACACACACACACAUGCAUGCAUCUACUCACACACACACAGACACUGAUGUUGUUUAGAUAAUGCCAUGUGUAAUUGUAUUUGUGUCAUGGUCCCCGUGCCUGCCCAGCUGGCCUCACAAGGCUACACUUGUGUUUUGCUUUCUCUCUCUCUCUCCCCCCUACCUCUCUGCCUGGGCGGAGCUCACGGCUGGCUCUCGCCCUUGGCUCACACACCUGUUGGCGAUCAGCUGAUCAUCCGACUAUUUGAGGCUGGGCCACAGAUCCUCUCAUCGCUGGAUGAUUGUGCUACUGACUUUACCUUCCCGGACCUGUGACCUCCCACCUGUACGAACGUGUGUGAGUUGGAUGUGAGGACGUGAGCGAGCGUGAAAGAGAGAGCCUUCCCCUAAUCCCUUGGAACCCUGGAUUUUUCCCCGUCACUGUAUAUAUUAUCGCACUGGUGUGUAAAUAAAUGGUGCUCUGAGACGCCAACCUGU